rnacentral:lncRNA from 1 species
CUCUUUUCUGUUCUGCUUGGGUGAUUUCCUCUAAUCUUUCGUCUAGCUCGCUGAGCCGUUCUUCUGCUUCCUCUACUCUGCUAUUGAGUCCCUCUAGUGAAUUUCUCAUUUAGAGUAUUGUAUUCUUCAUUUCUGAUUGGUUCUUUUUUAUAUCUUCCGGUUCUUUGCUGAUGUGCUCACUGUGUUCAUCCAUUCUUCUCCACAUAUCUGUGAGCAUCCUCAUUAUAUUUUGUUUGAAUUCUUUGUCAAGGAGGUCGCUGGUUUCUGUUUCACUUAGUUCUUUUUCUGGUGUUUUGUAGUGUUCCCUUGCUUGGAAAGUAUUCCUUUGCCUCCUCAUUAUGCCUCUUUCUCUGUGCUAUUUUCUUUGUACUAGGUGAGUUGGCUAUGUCUCCUGAUCUUGGAGAAGUGGCCUUAUGUAUGAGAUGCCUUAUGAGGCCCGAGAUUCUUAAUCUUAUCAAGAAGAAGAAAAUAAACUAUGAGUUUAACAGCUGACUGAGAGAUGUGGGCAAACAUUGGGUCUUUCCUUAACAACCCUUCCUAGUUAUAGAAUUAUUUUAAGAAAUCAUCCUUUAGGGUGGAUGAACGAGUGCUAAGAAAAUAUAUCUCUACCUGGUUGCCACAGGGCUCUGCAAGUUCACAUAAAAGAAGUAGAUCUGAUGUUUAUAUCCAGGACUUUUCUGGAAUUUAUAGGUAAUGAUCUGUGGAAUUUCUCCAAAUCCCAGGCAGAAGUCAGAAGAGUGACCAAGAGUGAAGGUUCCAGAGAAGAUGAAUGUCAGGUUAUAGAUAUGAUAGAGUCCAUCUAUGGAGACAAGACUGAAUAAAAAUGGUCAGGCUCCACUAGUAAUAUCAUAUGCAUGAGGAGGGGGAAGCAGGAGGAUGUGGCUUGAGGUGGGGUAUUUCCUUCACUCCUUCCUGUGCUCCUUCACGGCAUCAGACCUGUCUCAAUAUCUGAGGCUCUCCCAACCUCCUUCAAAUCCCUCUCCAUUUUUUUCCUCACCAGUGUUUCCCCCAAGAAAUCUCUUGCAUGUCUAAUCUUGUCUCUGCAUGUGCUUCUGAUUGUUUUGUCCACAUGUGGACCAGAGCAUUUGCGGGGGAAGUUUAUAUCCCUGGAAUCUGUGGUGACAGGAACAUGAAUACAAGUAGAAGUGGUAGAAUGCAAAUACAAAGGGGAAACUCUAGGAGCUGUUUGGUCAACUGUCUCUUCACAUUUUGACAUUCUUUUACUCCUUCAAGCCUAAAAUACUUGGACACAAUGGUUUUUACUUUGUUAUUAUUAUACAUUGUAAUGAUUUCAUUUAUCCAAAACCCAACUUCAAAUUGUGCUUCUUAAUACCUUCACAACAGGGCACACAUCUUUUAUUUACUUCAUUCCUCAAACCUUCUGUCUACAUCCAUUCACAUGAAUGCAGAUUUUGUCUUGUAAGAGACACAAGGAGUUUAAAUGAAUGGGUUGGGGCAUAUAGUAUGGUGUCUGCUCCUAUUUCAAUGUGGGGUAUUGGGUAUUAGCUUUAUAGUCAAAGAAAAGUCCGAAACUUACAGAACUAUACAAGAGAGACUUUUUUUGAGAUUUGGGGCAUAGACAGAGCUGUCUGGGGACUCAGGUGAUAAAAUUUGACACAGAAUUGGAUAGGAUGUCAUUCUCUUUUCUUCCAUAAGGAUCCCAAAAUAAUUCUGAGAACCCAAAGCAUGGAAAUGUAGAAGUUUCUGUUGUCAGCAACCUUGGCUUGGACCUUGGAAUUUCGAUGACUGACAAUGUGAAGAGUGGUACCUCUGCUUAUGGUUUUAAUGGCAGGUAGAUACCAACUAGCUGGAGACACAGUGGUCAUUCCAGUGACAAAUGGAUUCGUAGGCAUAUAUAAGGCAACCUUUUGGUGAGCCCCAGAAAAACUGAAGGGGAUUUUCGGAAAAACUAGUUUUCAUUAAUUAGUUUGUUGAGAAAUAAAAUUACUAAAAUAUAAUCUUUAGAAGUGAACAGGUCUUCAAGGAUGCUUUGGUUAAUUUUGGGAUCUUUUUCAGGAUUUUUAUAAUCCUUAUGCAGUGCACAUCUACAACCACUACUCUUGCUCAUAGAAGUAGAAUUAUCACUUUUUAGCAGGAUUAUUCUCAAAGCUAGGCAACCAGGCCCCUGCUUAGGGCCUCAUGUUUUGAGGGACUCCUCUUUACUCCUCCUCUGUAUGUCCUCCCCACAGGGUGAGGAGGCUAUAGCCCCAGGGCAUGUGCUUAUUCAGAGCCUAUGACCUCCACUUUAGACUAUAUUUGAGUUAUCCUGGAACUCCUUAUCCAAAUGGCUGGAAGCCUGCACCCAGAGUCAACAUGGUCCUCUUCUUCCUGGAUGUCCUCCCAAGGGCAGACCAUGCUACUGGUAUGUGCACCUGUAGAUACAAGAGUGACCACAGGAUGGAUAUCUGGAGAAGUGUGGAUGAAGGUUGGCUUUGUGAAAUUGGGGUGUGCCUAUGGAUACGUUUGAGGCACCAUGCAUUGCAAGAAAAACCUGAUAGUGAGAAGAGAAAGGGGGUGAGAGGGUGGGCCAUGGAACUAGGGUCUCUAGAUAUACUUUUACCUCAGGCCCUGAAAAUAUUGGGAGAAGUCCUAAACUUGGAACAAUGUCAGUGUCUUUGUCAGAGAAUUGGUGCAUGAAAUGUGGAUGAGGAUGUUCAGAGAUCAAGUCUGGCUUGAUGGAUUUCAGUGAAUUGAGAUAUAGUUGGAUUUGGAGAGAUUUUGCAGGUGGCCUUCAAGCUCCUAGGAACCAACUACUCAUGAGGGAAGAUUUUAAGUUUGCAACUUACUAGAAUUUUCCCAGCAUGUUAAUUUCCCCAUAAUUCUCCAGGAUAUAUUAGGAAGAGACUGAUACAUGGAAAGUGAUUUUAAUAUUUAUAUUUAGUCCCUGGGAUUUCUAAAAAGACCAACCCUUUUUGUGCAUGCUGGAGGAUGUUUCAAAAAUCUUUAGGUAUGAGAGUAACAUGAAAGCUCAUAGUAGCUUUUUUUUCAUAAGUGUACAGUGAUAAUGUCAUUGCUGUGAUGGCUAAUGGACUGUAAGCUUGUGUUUUAUUGGGUUUCAAAAACUCUUGGUUUUAAUUUCUAAUAUAAUAAGUAUCAAUAUAUAACCCAAAAAACAAAGUUUUUUGUGGUAUGCAAUAAUUUUUAAGAUCUAAAAGUUUGAGAAUCGCUGGGUUUCUGUUUCUCACCAUGACACUAAGAGACAAAUCACUGCUCAGAUACACCAGUGUUUUGCUAACAGCUAUAAGAAGGGGACCAACAGCCUUGUAAUUUUAGGGCUGCCCAGUAAAGUGGUGGAAUACUACUUUUCUAUUGCCACCCACCACUAAAGCCACUGUGAAAAACAAAACAAGACAAAUCAAGGCAAGUCACUAAAGUAAUUACUGCCAACUGUUGACUCUCUACUCCCAAUUUUAGUUGUCAGGAAUCAGAACAGAAGAAGGUCCUUGACCCUUACCCAGGAGACAUUUGUUGGGCAGUAUUCCUGACCCCUUGGGAAAGAGAGAGGACAGUGAGGUAAUGAUUCAGGGGUUGGAGAUGAGGCCACUGAUGUCUCAUACUGGAAAGUUGGUGCAUAUUUUUGCAAGUCCUAUCUAGUGUCCUUUGAUCUUGAAGGUAUGUGAAGGACUUCUCACCUGUGGGAAAACAAGCUACCACUAAAUACAGAGGGAGACUCUUAUUCUGAAGAGGACCCUGGUGAAUGAAUGGAAUAUUUUAGAUGGGGUGGCAGUGGAGAGUUGUGAGAAGGAACAGAGUAAAAUAAGAUAUGGAUCUGUUUGCCAUCUCAUGCUAUUCCUGGGGUGCUAUGGGUAGAAGCCAUACAAAAAAUUGGAUUCAUAGUGAGACUGUUUCUUGGGUCCCACCCCUGAAGAAGUACACAGAUAGAUCACCCGAACAAUUGUGCUCUCCUUUAGUCUCUAAAAAAAUAAUUAUUGGAAGAAACAGUGAUCUUUAUAAGGGAAUAUAAGGAUGUUUUCACAGGGAGGGAAACAAUUUUCUUUUCUGGCUUACUCUAUCUUCCUUCCAGUGUUAUCUGUUUAGCAGAUAUACUAUUUUGAAAUAAUCUGAGAUAUUUUCCAUGCCUCUUAAUUCUUGCCAUCUCAGCCUUUCAUACAUUGAAGGGAGCAGAACUCAGCCAGCAAUAACAAUACAAAAUAAUGAUAAUGACUAACAUUUACAUAGUGCUGCUUACUACAUG